UUUCAAAAAAGAGAAUUGACAUGCAAAUAAGCAACAAGACAGGUGGAGUUUCAGGACAAGAUUUGGUCGCUAGAGGGAGGUCUCGGGAGAAGGGUUUCGGUAAUAGAGGUACAUCUAGAUCAAAGUCAGAAAAUAAGAAUCUGAUUUGUGGUUAUUGUAAGAAGAAGGGUCACAAAAAAGCUGAUUGUUACAAGCUGAAAAAUAAAGAGCAGUGGAAGAAUAACGGUGAUAAGAGUCAAGGUCAGAAAAACACCAAUAUUGA
rnacentral:lncRNA from 1 species